rnacentral:rRNA from 1 species
CAGUAGCCGCGGUAAUACGAAGGGUGCAAGCGUUAAUCGGAAUUACUGGGCGUAAAGCGUGCGUAGGCGGUGAGUUAAGUCUGCUGUGAAAUCCCCGGGCUCAACCUGGGAAUUGCAGUGGAUACUGGGUCACUAGAGUGUGGUAGAGGAUAGUGGAAUUUCCGGUGUAGCAGUGAAAUGCGUAGAGAUCGGAAGGAAUAUCUGUGGCGAAGGCGACUAUCUGGGCCAACACUGACACUGAGGCACGAAAGCGUGGGGAGCAAACAGGAUUAGAUACCCCUGUAGUCCCUGUCUCUUAUAC